CAAUUUUUCAGAAUUGGGUUCAAUUCUUUCUCUCUCUAAAACAGAGAGAAAACAUUUCUGUUGCCAUCUCCGUUCUCUCUAAAACAGACACAUCUCAACGUUCUCUCUCGAUUCUCACAAACACCUCCGUCACUAUCUUCGUCUUCUUGUGUUGUCAUCACCAUCUCCUUUGCUAUCUUCGAACUUAGAUCUCCAAGAUUCAGUGGCUCCAAGGAAAAGAAGAGCAACAAUUGUUGUUGUACUAAAAAUACAAGAAGGCGAAUUAGUAAACAGAGACAAAUAGAAGAAGAAAAUGAAGAAAGCACAAGAUUGGAGCUGUCUAUAAGAGAAGAUGGAAGUAAAAGGUUGGAGAAGUCCAUAGAAGAAGAAGGAAGAACAAGGUUGGAGAAGUCUACGGAAGAAAAAAGGCGAAGAAACAGGUGGAAUAGAUGCUUCUUCCAUCAAAGCAGAUGCCUCAAAUGAUAAAUCCAAAAGUAAUGAAAAUGCAGAAGGUGAAAAUAGAGGAUUCGAGGAUGAACAGAGAAUGAAACAUCAGCACGAUAAACCUAUCUUGGAGGAGGAGACAUCUCAUACUGUCGAGUACUCUCCGUCCAGUCUUUCACCCGAUACCUAACUUGUCAAGUUUAUUAGGUAUUUGGAUUACAACUUUAAGACACUGAUUGAAAGGCAUCCAAGUUUGAUGGGCUCUGUUAAUGUUAAGUCUGGGCUGGGUAAGUCUUUUUCUGAGUUUAGAAAGAUUUAGAAGAUAAAAAAUUUACGAAGUUCUUUAAAUCUUCGAUUUUUGGGAAGUACUUAAACCUACCUAACAAUAUCAAUAUAAGAUUUCAAAUGAAUUUAGUUUACCAACUUCUUCAACGUAAAUUUAUAAGUCAUAGAAAAGAGGAAGUUUGGAUAAACUAUUGUGGCAUACCGGUUUGUUUUGGAAUAAGAGAGUUGGCGAUCAUCACUGGCUUGAAUUGUCAUUUACCAGUUGUGUAUGAUGAAGAAAAUAUGUCAACUACGACUUUGAGAAGGAGACAACAAAUUAUUGAUUUGGUGGGAAAGACUUGCAAAGAGAAGGAGUUGAUUGACCACAUCAAAUCUGUGGAUGUUCAUAAAAGUGUAAAGAAGUCAUUGUUCUUGCUCUAUUUUGUGCACAAUUUUCUUUGUGCAAAAGAUUUGAACACGAAACUUCCGUCUGAAUUGGUUUUGCUCUCAGCUGAUAGAGAUGCAUUUUCUGCCUAUACAUGGGAGCGUGUAAGUUAUGAUCUUACAAUUGAGUACCUAGUGAAGGCGGUCAAACCAAAUGUGAAGACCUCCAAUCUUUAUAGUUUUCCAUGGGCUUUCAUGGUAAAUUUUAUUUUAUUCUAUAUUUUUUAAUUAUUUUUGGGUCCAUUCAUUAUUCUGAGUUAUCUCUCUUAAUAUCUUUAUUCUUGUGUUGGGCAUUUGAGGAUAUUCCUCCAUUCGAAAAACAAUUCAAGGGUUUUUCAGAAGAAAUAUCUUCACCGAGAAUUCUUAGAUAGCUUUCGGCUACUAAUAACAAAACUGUGAGAUUAAUGAGUUGUUUGAGGCCCCCAAAGACUCGGUGAACAAAAAGACGGGAAAGUCGAUGCAAAGAUAAUAGAUAUUACUCCAGCUUUCCAUGUUGUGGAAGUGAUAAAAACAUUCAGGAGAUACUGCAGGAUAUGGUAGUUCGGACUUCGUGAGAAACAACAGUUCUAUUGGAAAAAAAUAUCCGACCUCGUGCUUUUACAAUUGGGCUUUUGAUCUCUAUAUAACCAUUGUAUUAUAUCCAGAAAAGAAAUGUUGGGUCUGGUGGUUGUUAAGUAGAUCGAUCAAAAGCUAAUUUAACUAACUGCCCAUUGUUAAAUUUACAGGCUCGUUAUGACCGUAAAAGGACUCGAUUUCUAACAACCUUCAAGUCAGAUGAUGGGUGUGGAGAGUCAGCAUAAUGGAGAAUGAAGAAUGUCUGCAAUCUCGAAAACAAACACAUGAACAAAGGAGCGGAAUAAUGAGUACAACACAAGACAAUUGAAUAUCCUUCCCUGGAAAUUACGCUGAGAACACUCUUAGAUAAACUUCUAGUUUCACUACUUGCUUAGAAGAUAUCAUUUUGAAAUUUCGCAACCAACUCAGCUAAAAGCUUUGUGUGUUAAAAAUGCAAGGAACCAAAGAAGGGAGAAAAGGGCAACAAGCAAUUGUCGUUUUUUUUAAAUGAUGGGGCAGCAAAAUGGGGUUAAAAUGGCUCUCAAUGGAUUGAAAUGACUUUCAAUAAUUUAUUAAGCAUUGGGGGC